rnacentral:tRNA from 1 species
GGAGAGGUGGCCGAGUGAUUUAGGCGGCGAUCUUGAAAACCGCUUCCCGCUUCCGCGGGACGUGGGUUCCCUGCCUGACUGCUGCGAGGCAGGCAGGGAAUCCCACCCCCUUCG